UUUCUCCAUGAUAUUCCCUUUCUUCGAAUAGUUGAUGAAUAAUUUGAUAUCAAAAAACAUGAAAUUUUGUUAAUCGAUUGUUUCCAUAUUUUUGGUAUUUUUUAUGCUUAAUUUCAUGCUAGAUUCGUUAAGUUUGGUCAAUCUAUCUCAUCUCACGAAUUAUGAACCCUAGAUUUGGUGGCUCUUUAUUCUUUUUCCCCCCACAAAUAUAGCUAAAUGGAAUAAUCUACAUUGGAAUAAAUUUCGACACAUACAGUUAAAUGAAUUAAUCUAAUUUAUUAAGUUUUAAGCAGUCUAUAUUUUCUCAUGAACCUUAUGAGUUUAAUGUUAUAAGUUCAAUGUUAUAAAUAAAAUUAACUUUUUAUAAGUCGAUGUUCUUCCUCUCUUAGAAUCCUAUUGAAUGGAUGCACUAAUUUGGUGAAAUCUGUAAAUAAAAAUUGGAAAUAUAUAUAAAUUGCCUAUAAGUUGCUCAUUUAAAUUGCUUGCUUGAAAUGAGCGUUGUUAGUCCAAUUUGAAGUCUUAACUAACUCUCUUUUGUGUCUUUUCUUCAUACUAAGGCAGGGAAUUGCUUGAGUGAAUUCUAGGCAGUAGAGAUCUUCCUUCUUAACUGCUGCUCAAAUGGCUAUAAGAGGCACAAAGUUAUCGACUGUUUCAUCAGCAAGAACCCAGUUCUAUCUCUCAGGCAUCAUCUCUAGAAGAACCAAGGGGUAAGCUAACCUCUCUAAUACUUCCUUGUUAAUGUAGAGAGAAUUUUCCUCUUCUUUGAUUAUCGAGGACAUUCUUUUCUUCAAUGCGCAUAAUAUUACAAUGUGCAUAUCAUUUUUGCUUAAUUACAAUACAAGAUUUCAUAAGUCUGGGAAAUGGGUUAGCACCCUAAAAGUUCUUUCUAUUGCGGUGGUAAUUUGCACUUCUUGUUCCGUUUAUACGACGAACUGUUGAAAAUUUGAUGAUUGUAUUUCUUGUUAAUUUGCAUAGUAUAGUAGUUGCUGAAGUUAUUUAAUGUGAAAAAUUCUUAACUGUUUGAAAGUUUACAUGUCAUAAAUGAGAUGGGCGUUUCUUGUUUCUUGGUUUAAUGUUUUCAAUUACGUUUGUUAAAAAAAUGUGAUGUCUUGCUUAACAUUAUUAUUUAUAUAUGUAGCCCUUAAAUCAUUUUUGUUUGCAUAAAAUAAAAAAAAGAUCAUCAACUUCGUAUCAGUUUGCAUAAAAUGUUUAUAAUUUUAAAAUUUUCAAAAAAUCACUGUAGUAAAUGAUUCUGUUUUUAGUUUUGGUACAGGGUUUCUGUUUAAGGCUGAAUCUCAUUCUAUUGGCAAAAGAAAUGUAAGAUAGCCCUUAAAUCAUUUGUGUUUGCAUAAAAUAAAAAAAGAUCAUCAACUUCGUAUCAGUUUGCAUAAAAUGUUUAUAAUUUUAAAAUUUUCAAAAAAAUCACUGUAGAACUAUUGAUCCUUUGGAUGAGUAGAAUGAAGUAAACAAAUCGAAGAUGGAAAAUCGAUGACUGCUGAGUAUAAGCAUGUAAUGGACAUAUAUCCUUGAAGUUCACAAUUAAACUGAAAGUCAUUUAUACUACAUAAAAUGUUCAGGACUCAGGAAGAGACUUGUUCUCCUCAGUGUGAAUCCAAAAUGAUAAACAACAAUAUCAACCAUAAAAAGCCUUUGUUCUGGAUUAUUUCGGAUAGAUACAUAAAUUUAUUUAGAUUGAUACAUAUCAUUCUGUACAAAUCUUUCGAUUUUAGGCUUUAACUUCCUACAAAUCAGCCCACUUCUACCUUGCCAAAUAGCAUAAAUAGCACAAAUGCAAGCAGCUAAUGUUGCUCUCUUUGACUUUGCAUCUACACAUUUACUAUCCGUUUCUUUGUGGCCCUAGGGAUGAGUAUAUUUUAGACUUAAUGUUGAUCCCUUGUUCUCUAUCAGAUUGAUCUGAUGGAUCCAAAUAAUGGAGCUCCUGCGGGCAUACCCUAGCUGAUAAUAGAAGAUCCAGAUGUCGUUCGCCGGGUAAUUGAAGUGGGCACGUCGGCCAGACCUCCUCGGCAGUAUGCAGUCAUUUAGGUAGAAAACCUAUUACCUGAUCUAAUUUACGGUUUCUUCGCGGCUCAUUACUACUGGACAAUGGAGCCAGACGAGGCUACUGCCUAAUGUCAUCUUGUUGUAACCAGAACACUACGGAGGUAUAACCAGAACGCGCACCCACUCACGUAACCUGGGUCCAAGGCCAUGUGAGUGGGAGCACAUUCUGGUUAUACCUCCGUAGUUUUCUUGUCACAACCAGCUGGCCUUGGGAAUUAAUCACGUCUGGCUCCAUUUUCCACUAGUAAUGAGCCGCGAAGAAAUGGUAAAUUAGAUCAUUUGAUGGGUUCUCUAUCUGGAUGACUUGAUAUUGCUGAAGAGGUUCGGUCGACGUGCACGCUUCAAUUACCCGGAGAAUGGCAUUUGAAUUUGCUAUUAUCAACAGGGGUUGCCCGCAGGAGCUCCAUUAUUUGGAUCCAUCAGGUCAAUCUGAUAGAGAACAAGGAAUCAAUAUUGAGUCUAAAAUGUACUCGUCCCUAGGGCCACAAAGAAACAGGUAGUAGAGGUGUAAAUGCAAAGUUAAAGAGAGCAGCAUUAGUUGCUUGCAUUUGUGCUAGUUAUGCUAUUUGGCAAGGUAGAAGUGGGCUGAUUUGUAAGAACUUAAAGCCUAAAAUCAAACAAGGUAGAAGUGGGUUGAUUUGUAGGAACUUAAAGCCUAAAAUCGAAAGAUUAAUAGCACAAAUGCAAGCAGCUAAUGCUGCUCUCUUAACUUUGCAUUUACACAUCUACUAUCCGUUUCUUUGUGGCCCUAGGAACGAGUAGAUUUUAGACUCUUAUGUUGAUUCCUUGUUCUCUAUCAGAUUGACCCGAUGGAUCCAAAUAAUGGAGCUCCUGCGGGCAACCCCUGCUGAUAAUAGCAGAUUCAAAUGCCAUUCGUCGGGUAAUUGAAGUGGGCACGCCGGCCAGACCUCCUCAGCAGUAUCAAGUCAUUCAGAUAGAGAACCCAUCAGAUGAUCUAAUUUAUCAUUUCUCCGCGGCUCAUUACUACUGGAAAACGGAGCCCUACGUGACUAAUCCCCAAGGCCAGCUGGUUGUGACCAGAAAACUACGGAGGUAUAACUAGAACGCGCCCCCAUUUCACGUAGUCGGGGUCUAGGUUUUCGAGAACGCACGGAUUAACGUGCGUUGCUUGUAGCACAGGAUGAUUCAGAUUGCUCCAGUCUGAACCUCUGUUACCCAUCCACAAAGAGACGGUGCAUGUCUUUGAGAUUUGAACCUCUUAUACUCAUCCAUCCUCAUCCUCUCUCCUCUCAACUCCCAUGAAACUAAAUUUAUUUCACAGGAGUUGAGAGGAGAGGAUGAGGAUGGAUGAGGAUGAGAAGUUCAGAUCUCAAAGACAUGCACCGUCUCACUAUGGAUUGGUAACCGAGGUUCAGACUGGAGCAAUCUGAAUCAUCCUAUGCUGCAAGCAACGCGCGUUAAUCUGCACGUUCUCGAAAACCUGGAUCCUGACUACGUGAAGUGGGGACGCGUUCUGGUUAUACCUCCGUAGUUUUCUGGUGACAAUGAGCUGACCUUGGGGAUUAGUCACGUCUGACUCCGUUUUCCAGUAGUAAUGAGCUGCGAAGAAAUGGUAAAUUAGAUCAUCUGAUGGGUUCUCUAUCUAGAUGACUUGAUAUUGCUAAGGAGAUCCGGCCGGCGUGCCCACUUCAAUUACCCGGCGAAUGGCAUUUGAAUCUGCUAUUAUCAGCAGGGGUUGCCCGCAGGAGCUUCAUUAUUUGGAUCCAUCGGGUCAAUCUGAUAGAGAACAUGGGAUCAACAUUGAGUCUAAAAUGUACGUCCCUAGGAACACAAAGAAAUGGUAGUAGAGGUGUAAUUUGUAGGAAGUUAAAAAGUGUAAAAUGAAAUGUAUCGAUCUAAAUAAAUUCAUGUAUCUAUGCGAAAUAAUCCAGGACAAAGGCUUUUUAUGGUUGAUGUUGUUUAUCAUUUUGGAUUCACACUGACCUGAACAUUCUAUGUAGUAUAAAUGACUUGCAGUUUAAUUGUGAACAUCAGGGAUAUAUGUCCAUUACAUGCUUCUACUCAGCAGUCAUCGAUUUUCCAUCUUCGAUUCGUUUAAUUCAUUCUACUUAUCGAUAGUUCUGUGUUCUGAGCAUGACAGUUUUACUUCGCAUAGCGUAGAUCAUUAUGUACAUAUUAAAUGUGAUUUUUAUAAUUUGUUUGUGAUUCAAUAGACAUCCUAUCUGAUUUGAGAAAACUGAUACAUAUCUUACAUGAUGAAUGCUUUUGUACCUUUUGGUUUGCUUUAUCUCUUACUUUUCUUUUGCCAAUAGAAAGAUUCAGCUUCAAAUAGAAACCCUGUACCAAAACGGAAUCAUUUACUACAGUGAAUUUUUAGAAAUAUUAAAAACAUUUUAUGCAAACUGAUACGAAGUUGAUGAUCUUUUUUUAUUUUAUGCAAACACAAAUGAUUUAAGGGCUACAUAUAUAAAUAAUAAUGUUAAGCAAGACAUGACAUUUUUUUAACAAACGUAAUUGAAAACAUUAAAACAAGAAACACCCAUCUCAUUUAUGACAUGUAAACUUUCAAACAGUUAAGAAUUUUUCACAUUAAAUAACUUCAGCUACUAUACUAUGCAAAUUAACAAGAAAUGCAAUCAUCAAAUUUUCAACAGUUCAUCAUAUAAACAUAAUAAGAAGUGCAAAUUACCACCGCAAUAGAAAGAACUUUUAGGGUGAUAACCCAUUUCCCAGACUUAUGAAAUCUUGUAUUGUAAUUAAGCAAAAAUGAUAUGCACAUUGUAAUAUUAUGCGCAUUGAAGAAAAGAAUGUCCUCGAUAAUCAAAGAAGAGGAAAAUUCUCUCUACAUUAACAAGGCAGUAUUAGAGAGGUUGGCUUACCCUUUGGUUCUUCUAGAGAUGAUGCCUGAGAGAGAGAACUGGGUUCUUGCUAAUGAAACAGUUGGCCUGGAGGAGUUGGGGUGGGGGGGCAGAAUUUAAAUCCAAUGUUGAAUAUUUUCUAAUUGCAUUUUUUGAUCAUCAUAGAAAUUAAUUACUUCUUACCUUUGUUCGUGUUGGGUUUUCUUGAAAUGAAGCAGAGGAGGGUGAAAGGGUUGUUCAUUCGCAAAUGGCAAAUAGCUACAAUAACCUUAACAGAAAAAAGGGAAAAAAGGAAGAUUUAGCCUCUCUCUCUCUCAAGAAUAGUAGUGUUACGCACCGGUAAAAAAGGAGGUUAAAGUUAAGUAGAGUAGGUUUUGUGAGAUGCUCCAAAGUUCAGUGGAAUUAAAAUAUUCAUGGAGUAAGAGCUGAGGAGGUUUUGAGAAUUAAAACAGUUGACAAGGGUUAUCUACAACACCCCCAAAGUUAAAGAGGGGUUUGCUGAAAUUAAUCCUUUUGGCUUUAAACCACUAUAAAAACCAAUAAGAACAGGACAGUAUGUACUGUAGCUAUUGGAUUAAUUCGGUCUUGGGUUUCUUUUAUUUCUUCAGAUCCAUCAUCGGUAAGAUCUCACUUUCAAAUUUGCAUAGUUGUUUAAUAAGAACAGGACAGUAUGCAUGAAUAUGAAAAAUCUGCGCAUAGUUGUUUUCUUUCCUUGUCCAAAUCUUGCUUAAAGAUAUCUCUUUCUCAAUAAAAUCCUAUUACUGUUUACUUUUGAUAAGGAUUACAAUUUGGAAUAAAGACUUAUGGUCAUAAUAUAACAGAUUUUUUAAUUGUUUACUUUUGAUAAGGAGUGUCCAGGCCUAGCUUGUUUAUAUGAUGGUGUCAUGCAUCAAAUUAUUCUCCUCUGAAUUCAACAGAUAUAACUUCUGCUCCAUUUAAAUUAUCAUCUCGCAACUCAUCUCGCAACUUUUCAGUAAAUUAUCAUCUCGCAUCACUGUUAUUGAGAGGUAAUCUCAGAAUCAGAUCAAAAGAAGGAAGCAUGAAUAUAAACAGCAUGAUAGUAUAACUACCGACUUCAUCACUUUUGAGAUACUCACCAGACUCCCUGUAAAGGAUCUGCUGAAGUGCAAAUCCGUUUGCCAAUCGUGGCAUGCUUUGCUCUCUGAACCUACUUUCAUAGCCGCGCAUCUAAAGCGUACGAGGGAAAAACCCAAGCUCGUAUUUGUAGCUCAUAAACCCUUUUGUCGAGGAAGCUCCAUGUAUAUGUAUGAAGAAGGCAGGAAAAAAUCGAGGUUCUUGUUCAUGGAAAAAUAUUCUGCAGUGCAGUAGUAUUUGUUCCCUCCUCAUCACUGCGAUGGUUUGCUGUUGCUCAACACUCAGACCCAAUUGGUUGUAUGCAAUCCGAGCACUAAAGAGUCGGUAGCCUUACCUGCAUUCAGACGCGACUGUGGUACACUGGAAGAUGGUGCAUCAAACUUUACGGCUGCUUCAGGAUAUGUUGAAAGUAUGAACGUUUUAUAAAGUAGCCUGGUAUUUCUAUUGUUCUCGCAAUGUUGAAGAAAAAACAUUGGACCUGGGCUUUGAGGUAAUUACUCUAGUAACGACAGACUUUUCCUGGAGAGAUAUUACCCUAUCUGAUUGGAAUUAGAUGUUUGUCCCAAGCCUGUGGGUGAAGUUAUCUAUUUCAAUAUAGAUAACAGACUCCACCAGGACUCUCCAAAAGCCUUGCUUUGCUUCAAUUUCAAAGACGAAAUGUUUAGAGGAGACGACCCUCCACAUCCCCUUGGGUUCUCAGGGGCGUAAUGGAAGUCGCCACCUCACGAGCUAACCUCAAAGAAAGUGAUAUGGACUGAAUAAUUCAAUAAUGGAUAGGAUGAAGUAUAAAAUGUGGACUUCCAGGGACUUUGCCGAGCAUGUGUGGGUUCCUAAACCUUUAGUUUCGACCUGCUGCACCCACCACUGAGGUUUCUGUGGCCUGUUGUGCUUCGUCGCGGAAAACUUCUGCUCCAGGUGAAUGACGAAGUUCAAAGGUUGGAGUACUAUGAUCCCCAGAGUAAAGUGUUUGAUCCUGUCAUGUGUAUUGCGAAGGACGUGGCUUUCUACAAUGAGCAGAACUGCGGUCUUCAUGUGACUUUGAUGAGAGGGCCGCACUCGUAGUAGUGAAUUGUGUUGAGAGCUUGGUGCUGAUUAGGCCCAGAAGCUUAAGCUGGAGAUAGAUCUCAUAAUUCCUUUCUUCUCCCAUGAUUUUUUUUGCCUUGUUCAGAUGUGGCAAAGAACAUAGUUGGCUUCUUUUACAUAUGUUAUUUAGGCUUCUUGAAAUUGUAUUUUUUUAGACCAAAAUAUUGUGCUUGGUCAUAUUCCAUUUCUAUUUCCUUUCUUUCAUUUUCUAAUUUGGUAGACGAGUUUAUUUUUAUUUUUAUUUUUGGUCUGAAGACUGCUAUUGUCUUUUAUAUUGAGAAAUACGUGAAAAGAUUACAGAUAGAGGAUUAUCUCUUGCUUUUUUUUU